rnacentral:rRNA from 1 species
GGGCGUUAAGUUGCAGGGUAUAGACCCGAAACCCGGUGAUCUAGCCAUGGGCAGGUUGAAGGUUGGGUAACACUAACUGGAGGACCGAACCGACUAAUGUUGAAAAAUUAGCGGAUGACCUGUGGCUGGGGGUGAAAGGCCAAUCAAACCGGGAGAUAGCUGGUUCUCCCCGAAAGCUAUUUAGGUAGCGCCUCGUGAAUUCAUCUCCGGGGGUAGAGCACUGUUUCGGCUAGGGGGCCAUCCCGGCUUACCAACCCGAUGCAAACUGCGAAUACCGGAGAAUGUUAUCACGGGAGACACACGGCGGGUGCUAACGUCCGUCGUGAAGAGGGAAACAACCCAGACCGCCAGCUAAGGUCCCAAAGUCAUGGUUAAGUGGGAAACGAUGUGGGAAGGCCCAGACAGCCAGGAUGUUGGCUUAGAAGCAGCCAUCAUUUAAAGAAAGCGUAAUAGCUCACUGGUCGAGUCGGCCUGCGCGGAAGAUGUAACGGGGCUAAACCAUGCACCGAAGCUGCGGCAGCGAACGUAUCACUUAAAGCGAUUCAGCGGGUUACGAYUGACGGAGCGAAGCGACGUCAAAGCGUAUACAAAGUCGAGUCGGUUUAAGGAUACGUUCGUUGGGUAGGGGAGCGUUCUGUAAGCCUGYGAAGGUGKSYYGUGAGGSWUGCUGGAGGUAUCAGAAGUGCGAAUGCUGACAUAAGUAACGAUAAAGCGGGUGAAAAGCCCGCUCGCCGGAAGACCAAGGGUUCCUGUCCAACGUUAAUCGGGGCAGGGUGAGUCGACCCCUAAGGCGAGGCCGAAAGGCGUAGUCGAUGGGAAACGGGUUAAUAUUCCCGUACUUGGUGUUACUGCGAAGGGGGGACGGAGAAGGCUAUGUUGGCCGGGCGACGGUUGUCCCGGUUUAAGCGUGUAGGUGUGUGUUCCAGGUAAAUCCGGUUCACUUUAACACUGAGGCGUGAYGACGAGGCACUACGGUGCUGAAGCAACAAAUGCCCUGCUUCCAGGAAAAGCCUCUAAGCAUCAGGUAACAUCAAAUCGUACCCCAAACCGACACAGGUGGUCAGGUAGAGAAUACCAAGGCGCUUGAGAGAACUCGGGUGAAGGAACUAGGCAAAAUGGUGCCGUAACUUCGGGAGAAGGCACGCUGACAYGUAGGUGAAGUGAUUUACUCAYGGAGCUGAAGUCAGUCGAAGAUACCAGCUGGCUGCAACUGUUUAUUAAAAACACAGCACUGUGCAAACACGAAAGUGGACGUAUACGGUGUGACGCCUGCCCGGUGCCGGAAGGUUAAUUGAUGGGGUCAGCGCAAGCGAAGCUCCUGAUCGAAGCCCCGGUAAACGGCGGCCGUAACUAUAACGGUCCUAAGGUAGCGAAAUUCCUUGUCGGGUAAGUUCCGACCUGCACGAAUGGCGUAAUGAUGGCCAGGCUGUCUCCACCCGAGACUCAGUGAAAUUGAACUCGCUGUGAAGAUGCAGUGUACCCGCGGCAAGACGGAAAGACCCCGUGAACCUUUACUAUAGCUUGACACUGAACAUUGAGCCUUGAUGUGUAGGAUAGGUGGGAGGCUUUGAAGUGUGGACGCCAGUCUGCAUGGAGCCGACCUUGAAAUACCACCCUUUAAUGUUUGAUGUUCUAACGUGGACCCGUWAYCCGGGUUGCGGACAGUGUCUGGUGGGUAGUUUGACUGGGGCGGUCUCCUCCUAAAGAGUAACGGAGGAGCACGAAGGUUGGCUAAUCCUGGUCGGACAUCAGGAGGUUAGUGCAAUGGCAUAAGCCAGCUUGACUGCGAGCGUGACGGCGCGAGCAGGUGCGAAAGCAGGUCAUAGUGAUCCGGUGGUUCUGAAUGGAAGGGCCAUCGCUCAACGGAUAAAAGGUACUCCGGGGAUAACAGGCUGAUACCGCCCAAGAGUUCAUAUCGACGGCGGUGUUUGGCACCUCGAUGUCGGCUCAUCACAUCCUGGGGCUGAAGUAGGUCCCAAGGGUAUGGCUGUUCGCCAUUUAAAGUGGUACGCGAGCUGGGUUUAGAACGUCGUGAGACAGUUCGGUCCCUAUCUGCCGUGGGCGCUGGAGAACUGAGGGGGGCUGCUCCUAGUACGAGAGGACCGGAGUGGACGCAUCACUGGUGUUCGGGUUGUCAUGCCAAUGGCACUGCCCGGUAGCUAAAUGCGGAAGAGAUAAGUGCUGAAAGCAUCUAAGCACGAAACUUGCCCCGAGAUGAGUUCUCCCUGAGACUUA